rnacentral:rRNA from 1 species
GAUGAACGCUGGCGGCGUGCCUAAUACAUGCAAGUCGAGCGAAUGGAUUAAGAGCUUGCUCUUAUGAAGUUAGCGGCGGACGGGUGAGUAACACGUGGGUAACCUGCCCAUAAGACUGGGAUAACUCCGGGAAACCGGGGCUAAUACCGGAUAACAUUUUGAACCGCAUGGUUCGAAAUUGAAAGGCGGCUUCGGCUGUCACUUAUGGAUGGACCCGCGUCGCAUUGGCUAGUUGGUGAGGUAACGGCUCACCAAGGCAACGAUGCGUAGCCGAACUGAGAAGGUGAUCGGCCACGCUGGGACUGAGACACGGCCCAGACUCCUACGGGAGGCAGCAGUAGGGAAUCUUCCGCAAUGGACGACAGUCUGACGGAGCAACGCCGCGUGAGUGAUGAAGGCUUUCGGGUCGUAAAACUCUGUUGUUAGGGAAGAGCAAGUGCUAGUUGAAUAAGCUGACACCUUGACGGUACCUAACCAGAAAGCCACGGCUAACUACGUGCCAGCCGCCGCAGUAA